rnacentral:rRNA from 1 species
ACACGUCUACAUUAGAUACCCGGGUAGUCCCAGCCGUAAACUAUGCGCGUUAGGUGUAUCGGUGACCACGAGUUACCGAGGUGCCGAAGGGAAACCGUGAAACGUGCCGCCUGGGAAGUACGGUCGCAAGGCUGAAACUUAAAGGAAUUGGCGGGGGAGCACAACAACGGGUGGAGCCUGCGGUUUAAUUGGACUCAACGCCGGACAACUCACCGGGAACGACAGCAAUAUGUAGGCCAGGCUGAAGACCUUGCCUGAAUCGCUG